UACGUAGGGUGCGAGCGUUGUCCGGAAUUAUUGGGCGUAAAGAGCUCGUAGGUGGCGGGUCACGUCGGGUGUGAAAGCCCGGGGCUUAACUCCGGGUCUGCAUUCGAUACGGGCAGGCUAGAGGUAGGUAGGGGAGAAUGGAAUUCCCGGUGUAGCGGUGAAAUGCGCAGAUAUCGGGAGGAACACCGAUGGCGAAGGCAGGUCUCUGGGCCACUACUGACGCUGAGAAGCGAAAGCAUGGGGAGCGAACAGG
rnacentral:rRNA from 1 species